rnacentral:lncRNA from 1 species
CUCUACCCACCAAGCGUAUACUAGACAAGGAGACAAGCAACGAGACCCCUACUGUGAACUUUCAUUCUCACUUUCGAACUGGAGCUGGACUCUCCUUCUUACUUAACAGCUUCCCUGGCUUCUUCUCAGAUCUUAUACUCCUAACUCUAGUAUCGGUAUUAUAACACUCCUUUCACUCCGGACUCCUGUAUUGGUAUAGUACUAGCAGGGGCAAUAACUAGACUUUCAUAGCUUACCAACUUACUAGAAAGGCCUCUUCUAACCAUACUUUUUCACUGCUGGAACUAGCCCUGGACUCUAAUCUACCUCAGGGGCAACGAGACCCCUCGGUAUGAAACUUCAAGCUGGAAACUAAACCUCUACUCUAUCAACUAAUUCUGUCACUCCCCGGUUUGGUUCUUUGAUUCACUGGUUGAAGCCUGCUCGGGGUUAGUUCCAUUCUUUGACUACGCCGUUCCAUUCUGAUCUUGCUUCUGGGAAGCCUUACUAAGUGGGGGCUUACUCAUAACUCACUCCUUACUUCUAACUCAUAACUAGUACAUGAACUUAAGGGCUGAAACAACUAUACCCUAGCCUCGCCUAACAAGUAAGUAAGUAAACCGGCCUAGAACAAGUAAGUCAACUACCCUCGCCUCAAACAAAGCCGAUACUUGAUUCUUCCUCGAGCAGUAUCUUUGAACUCUGAGUAAUCUUCUACUUUUUUUGUGAUUUUAUAAAUUGAUUCAUUUGAUUACAAUACCCUACAAAGAAAAGGAGAGACCAGAGACCUGGCCAAGGCCUAAAACAAAACAGGGC